GAUGAACGCUAGCGGCAGGCUUAAUACAUGCAAGUCGAGGGACAGCACAGGUAGCAAUACUGGGUGGUAACCGGCAAACGGGUGCGGAACACGUACACAACCUUCCUUUAAGUGGGGGAUAGCCCAGAGAAAUUUGGAUUAAUACGCCGUAAUAUAGUUGAAUGGCAUCAUGUGAUUAUUAUAGCUACGGCGCUUAAUGAUGGGUGUGCGGCUGAUUAGAUAGUUGGCGGGGUAACGGCCCACCAAGUCUACGAUCAGUAGCUGAUGUGAGAGCAUGAUCAGCCACACGGGCACUGAGACACGGGCCCGACUCCUACGGGAGGCAGCAGUAAGGAAUAUUGGUCAAUGGACGCAAGUCUGAACCAGCCAUGCCGCGUGAAGGAUUAAGGUCCUCUGGAUUGUAAACUUCUUUUAUUUGGGACGAAAAAGGGCCUUUCUAGGUCAACUGACGGUACCAGAUGAAUAAGCACCGGCUAACUCCGUGCCAGCCGCCGCGGUAAGAC
rnacentral:rRNA from 1 species